UACGGGGGGGGCAAGCGUUGUUCGGAAUUACUGGGCGUAAAGGGCUCGUAGGUGGCCAACUAAGUCAGACGUGAAAUCCCUCAGCUUAACUGGGGAACUGCAUCUGAUACUGGAUGGCUUGAGUUUGGGAGAGGGAUGCGGAAUUCCAGGUGUAGCGGUGAAAUGCGCAGAUAUCGGGAGGAACACCAAUGGCGAAGGCAGCUCGCUGGGACGGUACUGACGCUGAGGCGCGAAAGCGUGGGGAGCAAACAGG
rnacentral:rRNA from 1 species